rnacentral:rRNA from 1 species
AAGCUCGUAGUUGAAUUUCGGGAUCAGACUGUCGGUCGUGCCUCGGUACGCACUGGCAUUAUUGGUUCCUACCUUCUGAAGAACCGCGAUGUCAUUAAUUUGGUGUCGCGGGGAAUCAGGACUGUUACUUUGAAAAAAUUAGAGUGUUUAAAGCAGGCUUACGCUUGAAUACAUUAGCAUGGAAUAAUGAAAUAGGACGUUUGAUUCUAUUUUGUUGGUUUCUAGGGUCGACGUAAUGAUUAAUAGGGAUAGUUGGG